rnacentral:misc_RNA from 1 species
GUUAAUGGAGUCCUAGUACCCCUCUUUUGGAUGGGGUUUUGUUAGUUUGUGUGAGGAAGUUUUGUCUGUCGAAAAUGGCUUCCCCUACUGUUGCUAUGAAGCUUCUCGGAACGAGUUUGGUUGGCAGUUUCAGAGGUGGAUACCGGAUCUGGUCAUCAUUGCCAUCCAUGCCCUUUCUCGGAUUCGUCCGGCCCUAGCCCUAGUCCAAGAUUUUCUUUUGGUUUGCUGCAUUAUUUCCGUCUCAUUUGGGCAUGCAAGUGUUAAGCAGAAAGGAAAUUUGUGUUUGGGUUAGGUAUUUUGAUGUCCCUCCAAUAUAUCUAUACUUCCUUUAUAUAUUUGAUAUUUUCUUGCUGCCUGCGUUUUUUCCUUGGAAGAUUAGCGAAGAAGUUGCUAGUGAUAGUGAAGUUAGCAGCAGCAACAAUGAAGAUGGGUGGUUCGCAUCUCAAUCCUUUUAGUAAAGAUAUAAAGGUGUUAGGGGUUUGGGAUCUAUGGAUGUUAGGAUUCGGGCCUGUUUCUGGCCUUAGAGAUUUAUAUUGUAUCGUAUUUUUUUGGUAGUUUGGACUUGUAUAAUUCUAUUACAUAAUUUUUGGUAAAAAAAAAA